GACGAAGGAUGCAAGCGUUAUCCGGAUUCAUUGGGUUUAAAGGGAGCGUAGGCGGACUUGUAAGUCAGUGGUGAAAUCUGUGGGCUUAACCCACAAACUGCCAUUGAUACUGCAGGUCUAGAGUACAGUUGCCGUUGGCGGAAUAUGACAUGUAGUGGUGAAAUACUUAGAUAUGUCAUAGAACACCGAUUGCGAAGGCAGCUAACGAAGCUGUAACUGACGGCUGAGGCUCGAAAAGUGCGGGGAUCAAACAGG
rnacentral:rRNA from 1 species